CAGUAGCCACGGGAAUACGGAGGGUGCAAGCGUUAAUCGGAAUUACUGGGCGUAAAGCGCACGCAGGCGGUCUGUCAAGUCAGAUGUGAAAUCCCCGGGCUUAACCUGGGAACUGCAUUUGAAACUGGCAGGCUAGAGUCUUGUAGAGGGGGGUAGAAUUCCAGGUGUAGAGGUGAAAUUCGUAGAUAUUCGGAGGAACACCAGUGGCGAAGGCGGCUCACUGGUCCAUUACUGACGCUGAGGUGCGAAAGCGUGGGGAGCAAACAGGAUUAGAUACCCGCGUAGUCCCUGUCUCUUAUAC
rnacentral:rRNA from 1 species